AACCAGCUCUCCCAUCCCUAGUGGCAAAUUCCUUCUUUAUCUAGUGCACAAAUUUGCCUUGGGCUGAUUCUUCCUGUAGUGGAGCUGGUGGAACAACAAAUAGUAGCAGUGUUUGUCGGCUGAGAACAGUGACCUGGCUUGGGAGGUUGGUCCGUUGGUAAGCAGCAAGAAGUCACAAAACAAAAAAGUCACCCCCAAACCCAGCAGCAGCUUGGACUGGAUUUAGAUCAGUUUCUUCAUGUUAGCUGAUGGAAUUAGUACACCUCUACCCCAAUAUAAUGCGACCCGAUAUAACACGAAUUCGGAUAUAACACGGUAAAGUGCUCCAGGGGGUAGGGCUGCGCAUUCCGAUGGAUCAAAGCAAGUUCGAUAUAAUGCGGUUUCACCUAUAACACGGUGGUUGAGACUGAAUAAAGAUCCUGUAGAGGUGUAAUCAUGGCAAAUGCAGGUGAUCCUGGCAGCUCUGCAUACUGGACUACACUUCCUGCUUGGCAAACUGGACUCUGGCUCCCUGACCCCCUGCUUCCUAGCUCUAUGGAACAGUGCAAGGAGCAUGCACUGAAAUCCAAUUAACUCUCCUUCUGGGGAAACUGGAGAGUAGACUGCCAUUGCAGGCAGCUCCCAACAGGGCAGGAAGACUGGAAACAAAUCAGUGGAUGUCUGACUGCAUCAAAAUGGGAAAUUCUGCAACAGAAAUGCUGAAUUCUGUGGCAUCUUCCAAAAGAGCCAGACUCUGGCCUCAAAUGAGAUUAAUAAGGUAUUUUACAUGUCAGAUCUGUUGUUUCAGACUCCCUUCUGACAGGCAUCAGAUAACCUUGAAAAUGUGAACUGACUAAUCUCCACAAUCAUAAAAGACUUAAAUUUUUUUUUUUUUUACUUGAAAAUUGAGAAUUUGGAGUAUAACUGCUGCAAUGAGUCAAUUCACAGAAUACAUAACAUUUGUAAGGUCUCAAUCCUGAGUGGCAGCUAAAUUCUCCCUUUGGCCUUUUGCUUUUCUGUGCCAAUCCAGUCCCUGGUGCCAGAUAGAGCAUCUUAACUUAUGCCAGCUGUCAUUGGCUUCAAGGGGACUUAUGGCUGCUGAGGACCACAGAAUGCAGGAAUGCUUCAAUUACACUCCCUAUGCCUGCUGAAGAGAAGGGAGGUGACUUAGAAGAGAUAUUCUGUGGGGCAGACAAACAGCUUUAAGGGUAGGGUGACCAGAUGUCCCGAUUUUAUGGGGACAGUCCCGAUAUUUGGGGCUUUUUCUUACAUAGACUCCUAUUACCCCCCACCCCCAUCCCGAUUUUUCACACUUGCUGUCUGGUCACCCUAUUUAAGGGAACCAAGAGUUGCCCUAACCCACAAGAGGAUUUGUCCUAAAGUCUCCCUUAUAUAAAACGUUCACACUGUAACCUCAGCAUUUCUUUGUCUCUGAAGAAUAGCCUGAAAUAGUGUACACAUUUGUUUGUUAUCCUAAAAAAGAUGGCCUUAACUCUGAUUUCACUUGAAGUGGUAUAAAUGAGGAGCAACUCCACUGAAAUCAGUGGGGUAGUACAAGUAUAAAAGCAGCAUAAAUGAGACCCCUUCUCCUUGAAGCUAGCCUUGGUUCUUUAUACCAAACAUUUUUUUCCCCGCAAAGGUUUAACACUGAGGAGUUUGUAUCACCUGCCCACCACAGAGCAAAAAAUAAAGCAUACCAAAAUGUAUCAGAAGUGUUUCAAAGGGCUGCAUCACAUAGCACACUGAGGGAAGUACCAGGUCUCUUUCACAGAACCACAUAUUCAAAUGAGAUAAUCUAAAGUGGCUUUAACAGUGAGUCUUUGAAAGGAGACAUUCUGCUGGAAUGAGAUGCUUUUUUUCCUGAGUGCUUCCCCUUCCCCCAUCCUGAUUCCCACCCCUACUCUCCCUGUCAUUGCUAACUGGUGCCGGUUAAAACUGGCUAGUUCCAGCCCUAACAGCAUCUUCUCUCUCAGAGCUUUUGUUCCCAGUUAGAGCACAGCACCACUUCUGCUUCCAGGCAGCUCAUGUAAUUAACCUACAAAUUGCCAGAUAUUGCAGGAUAUCAUUUAAUAAUAUGACAGUGACCCAAAGCUAAACAAUAGCAUCUUUUUAAUGCAAAUACUUCAAACUGUUUUAUUUUAGUUGCAGCACUAGUUAUUUAUACAUUCUCUUGGCAUUAGAUGUGAAGUAGCUUUAACCCCAUGGCCACUUGUAUUUAAUAUAGUAUAACUUGCAUUUAUUAUUGCUAAUUAUGUGAGCUACUGAAUCUGCCUUGUAAGAAAAACAAAGCUAAUUUCUAAUAGCAAAAGGAUGCAUACCAGUAAUUUUAGGUGUCUUCGGUUUUAUUAGAUUAAAUUAGAAAUGUGACUGGAAACAUUUCAGAUCCAUUUUAAAGUAUAUCUCAUGGAGAUUAUGGUUAGAGGGGGAAUGAUUUCCAAACUGAUUAAAGAUGGAUUUUUUUAGAAUGAUAUGAAACAUUUGGAAUCUGAAGUAUGCCUUUUAUUGUAUCUUGUAGCACAAUAUAAAACAAGCUAAUUCUAUGAAAUUGCUGUAUUCUUUGAAAAAAAAUGCAUUAUGAUGUUGUUUAAUUAUUAUACUCGGGUUAAUACACUGGCCUUUAUCAUGCUGCCCACUGCCUAACUAACUAACUGAUUGAUAGAAGGCAAGUUACAACAUCAGAUAACAUAUUGCAACUUUGCUAGAUGUUUAAUGUAUAAUAUAUUGCAAUGAAGAAUCUUGACAAAAACCAACAAGGAUACAGUGUUCAAACUCAGAGUGAGACAGAUAAAAUGUCUGCUGUAGUAGAUUUUUUUUCUGGAAUUGUUUAAAGCACUGAAUAUGAUUGUGUCACUCCAGGUACAGACAAGAGACCACUUCUCUGUAGAUAGGACCAGCCUCAAAGAGCCAGGCACAGAUCGAAGUUUUUUUUAAAGAGAGCUAUUUGUGGGCUGAUGGAUGCUUAGCUCUGUUUACAUUCCUUCCCUGAGGUGAUUGCAGCUCCUCUGCAGUCCUGCUACUCUGCAAUACUGGGAGCUGUUUACAUUUGACAGGCCUUAAAAUGAGUAUUUGUUGUGGAUCUGUGGUAAUUUUGCAAGGGGGGGGGGGAGUAAAGACACACACACACACACAAAACCCCACCAGGAAUGUGGAGAAUCAGCUCUGGUAAACAUGCCCUUUCAUCGAAAUGCAAGGAAAAUAGGCCAAAGAGAACAAUAUCAUGUACCUGUGUAACUAGUAAACACCCAUAUACUUACUUUGAUAUAGCUAAAACUAUUAAACACUGUAUCAACUUUCAAGAAACAGAUAAAGGUACUUUUUCCUGUAUCUCCCUUUCUUCAGUUUUCUAGAAUAGGAUAUUAUCCUCCUUAUCUUUUAUUGCACAAGUCAGAAACAAAGAAUGCUCCCUUUUAACAGACACUUUUGCAAUCAUCCUCCUUUUAAAGAUUGUUCAGUAUUUAACUCCAACAUUAUUUCAUAAAUUUGCUGUUAUAUGAACAUGAAAUGUUUUUGCUGCGAGCUAAGCACUCCAAUCUCAUCUAAUUCUCCCUACUCUCAACCAUACUAAUUACAGCAAAUAAAAAACAUAUGGUACAGUAAUGAACACAAUUAACUUUAAAAGUGCUGAAAGUAGCAUCCAUACAUAGAUAUGUCUGAUAAAUGAGGAGUCUUGCACCCCACGUCCUGUAUUGUUUCAUUUAUUAAUUUAUUUUAAACAUGGACCCAUGCUCAUAUAUUGAACAAAGCUGUUUGGGGCAGAGACCAUCUUUUUGUUCUGUAUUUGUACAGUGCCUGGCACAAUGGGAUCCUGGUCCUUGACUCCGACUUCUAAAUGCCAUGGUAAUACAAAUAAU